rnacentral:rRNA from 1 species
GCUGAAGCCAGUCGAAGAUACCAGCUGGCUGCAACUGUUUAUUAAAAACACAGCACUGUGCAAACACGAAAGUGGACGUAUACGGUGUGACGCCUGCCCGGUGCUGGAAGGUUAAUUGAUGGGGUUAGCCGUAAGGCGAAGCUCCUGAUCGAAGCCCCAGUAAACGGCGGCCGUAACUAUAACGGUCCUAAGGUAGCGAAAUUCCUUGUCGGGUAAGUUCCGACCUGCACGAAUGGCGUAAUGAUGGCCAGGCUGUCUCCACCCGAGACUCAGUGAAAUUGAACUCGCUGUGAAGAUGCAGUGUACCCGCGGCAAGACGGAAAGACCCCGUGAACCUUUACUAUAGCUUGACACUGAACAUUGAGCCUUGAUGUGUAGGAUAGGUGGGAGGCUUUGAAGUGUGGACGCCAGUCUGCAUGGAGCCAACCUUGAAAUACCACCCUUUAACGUUUGAUGUUCUAACCUAGGCCCAUAAACUGGGUCGGGGACCGUGUCUGGUGGGUAGUUUGACUGGGGCGGUCUCCUCCUAAAGAGUAACGGAGGAGCACGAAGGUUGGCUAAGCAUGGUCGGACAUCAUGCGGUUAGUGCAAAGGCAUAAGCCAGCUUGACUGCGAGAGUGACGGCUCGAGCAGGUACGAAAGUAGGUCUUAGUGAUCCGGUGGUUCUGAAUGGAAGGGCCAUCGCUCAACGGAUAAAAGGUACUCCGGGGAUAACAGGCUGAUACCGCCCAAGAGUUCAUAUCGACGGCGGUGUUUGGCACCUCGAUGUCGGCUCAUCACAUCCUGGGGCUGAAGUAGGUCCCAAGGGUAUGGCUGUUCGCCAUUUAAAGUGGUACGCGAGCUGGGUUUAGAACGUCGUGAGACAGUUCGGUCCCUAUCUGCCGUGGGCGUUGGAAGAUUGAGAGGGGUUGCUCCUAGUACGAGAGGACCGGAGUGAACGCACCACUGGUGUUCGGGUUGUCAUGCCAAUGGCAUUGCCCGGUAGCUAAGUGCGGAAGAGAUAACCGCUGAAAGCAUCUAAGCGGGAAACUUGCCUCGAGAUGAGUCUUCCCUGUCGCUUUAAGCGACCUAAAGGAACGUUUAAGACUAAGACGUUGAUAGGCUGGGUGUGUAAGCGUAGCGAUACGUUGAGCUAACCAGUACUAAUGAACCGUGAGGCUUAACCUGACAACACCGAAAGUGUUUUG